rnacentral:rRNA from 1 species
GAUGAACGCUGGCGGCGUGCCUAAUACAUGCAAGUCGAGCGAAAGGACGCGAAUCUUGCUUCUCUGAUUUUAGCGGCGGACGGUAGCGUAACACUUAGAUAACCUACCUAUAAGACUGGGUUAACUUCGGUAAACCUUAGCUCAUACCGGAUCAUCUUUUGCACCGCAGGGUUCGAAAGUUAAAGACGGUCUUGCUGUCACUUAUGGAUGGAUCCGCGCUGCAUUAGCUAGUUGGUAAGGUAACGGCUUACCAAGGCAACGAUGCGUAGCCGACCUGAGCGGGUGAUAGCCGACACUGGAACGGGGACAGGGUCAAGACUCCUACGGGAGGCCGCAGUAGGGAAUCUGCCGCAAUGGGCGAAAGCCUGACGGAGUGACGCCGCGUGAGUGAUGACGGUCUUCGGAUCGGAAAACUCUGUUACUAGGGAAGAACAGAUGUGUAAGGAAAUGUGCACAUCUUGACGGUACCUAAUCAGAAAGCAACGGCUAACUACGUG